rnacentral:rRNA from 1 species
ACACAUGCAAGUCGAGGGGAAACGACAUCGAAAGCUUGCUUUUGAUGGGCGUCGACCGGCGCACGGGUGAGUAACGCGUAUCCAACCUGCCCACCACUUGGGGAUAACCUUGCGAAAGUAAGACUAAUACCCAAUGAUAUCUCUAGAAGACAUCUGAAAGAGAUUAAAGAUUUACCGGUGAUGGAUGGGGAUGCGUCUGAUUAGCUUGUUGGCGGGGUAACGGCCCACCAAGGCAACGAUCAGUAGGGGUUCUGAGAGGAAGGUCCCCCACAUUGGAACUGAGACACGGUCCAAACUCCCACGGGAGGCAGCAGUGAGGAAUAUUGGUCAAUGGACGAGAGUCUGAACCAGCCAAGUAGCGUGCAGGAUGACGGCCCUAUGGGUUGUAAACUGCUUUUAUAAGGGAAUAAAGUGAGUCUCGUGAGACUUUUUGCAUGUACCUUAUGAAUAAGGACCGGCUAAUUCCGUGCCAGCAGCCGCGGUAAUACGGAAGGUCCGGGCGUUAUCCGGAUUUAUUGGGUUUAAAGGGAGCGUAGGCCGGAGAUUAAGCGUGUUGUGAAAUGUAGAUGCUCAACAUCUGCACUGCAGCGCGAACUGGUUUCCUUGAGUACGCACAAAGUGGGCGGAAUUCGUGGUGUAGCGGUGAAAUGCUUAGAUAUCACGAAGAACUCCGAUUGCGAAGGCAGCUCACUGGAGCGCAACUGACGCUGAAGCUCGAAAGUGCGGGUAUCGAACAGGAUUAGAUACCCUGGUAGUCCGCACGGUAAACGAUGGAUGCCCGCUGUUGGUCUGAAUAGGUCAGCGGCCAAGCGAAAGCAUUAAGCAUCCCACCUGGGGAGUACGCCGGCAACGGUGAAACUCAAAGGAAUUGACGGGGGCCCGCACAAGCGGAGGAACAUGUGGUUUAAUUCGAUGAUACGCGAGGAACCUUACCCGGG